UACGUAGGGACCGAGCGUUGUCCGGAUUCAUUGGGCGUAAAGAGCUCGUAGGCGGUUUGUUGCGUCGGCUGUGAAAUCCCGAGGCUCAACCUCGGGUCUGCAGUCGAUACGAGCAAACUAGAGUGUUGCAGGGGAGACUGGAAUUCCUGGUGUAGCGGUGAAAUGCGCAGAUAUCAGGAGGAACACCGGUGGCGAAGGCGGGUCUCUGGGCAACAACUGACGCUGAGGAGCGAAAGCGUGGGGAGCAAACAGG
rnacentral:rRNA from 1 species